UACGUAGGGUGCAAGCAUUAAUCGGAUUUAUUGGGCGUAAAGGGCGCGUAGGCGGAAAUGCCAGUCAACUGUGAAAUCCCGGGGCUCAACCCCGGAACAGCAUUUGAAACUACAUUUCUAGAGGGUAGACGGGAGAAAAACGGAAUUCCACAAGUAGCGGUGAAAUGCGUAGAUAUGUGGAAGAACACCAGUGGCGAAGGCGGCGCUCUGGGCCGGAACUGACGCUGAGGAGCGAAAGCGUGGGUAGCAAACAGG
rnacentral:rRNA from 1 species